CCUACGGGCGGCAGCAGUGGGGAAUAUUGCACAAUGGGCGCAAGCCUGAUGCAGCCAUGCCGCGUGUGUGAAGAAGGCCUUCGGGUUGUAAAGCACUUUCAGCGGGGAGGAAGGCGGUGAGGUUAAUAACCUCAUCGAUUGACGUUACCCGCAGAAGAAGCACCGGCUAACUCCGUGCCAGCAGCCGCGGUAAUACGGAGGGUGCAAGCGUUAAUCGGAAUUACUGGGCGUAAAGCGCACGCAGGCGGUCUGUCAAGUCGGAUGUGAAAUCCCCGGGCUCAACCUGGGAACUGCAUUCGAAACUGGCAGGCUAGAGUCUUGUAGAGGGGGGUAGAAUUCCAGGUGUAGCGGUGAAAUGCGUAGAGAUCUGGAGGAAUACCGGUGGCGAAGGCGGCCCCCUAGACAAAGACUGACGCUCAGGUGCGAAAGCGUGGGGAGCAAACAGGAUUAGAUACCCCAGUAGUC
rnacentral:rRNA from 1 species